rnacentral:rRNA from 1 species
CAGUCGAGCGGGCGAGGUUGCUUCGGUAACUGAGCUAGCGGCGGACGGGUGAGUAAUGCUUAGGAAUCUGCCUAUUAGUGGGGGACAACAUUCCGAAAGGAAUGCUAAUACCGCAUACGCCCUACGGGGGAAAGCAGGGGAUCUUCGGACCUUGCGCUAAUAGAUGAGCCUAAGUCAGAUUAGCUAGUUGGUGGGGUAAAGGCCUACCAAGGCGACGAUCUGUAGCGGGUCUGAGAGGAUGAUCCGCCACACUGGGACUGAGACACGGCCCAGACUCCUACGGGAGGCAGCAGUGGGGAAUAUUGGACAAUGGGCGCAAGCCUGAUCCAGCCAUGCCGCGUGUGUGAAGAAGGCCUUUUGGUUGUAAAGCACUUUAAGCGAGGAGGAGGCUACUUGGAUUAAUACUCUAGGAUAGUGGACGUUACUCGCAGAAUAAGCACCGGCUAACUCUGUGCCAGCAGCCGCGGUAAUACAGAGGGUGCGAGCGUUAAUCGGAUUUACUGGGCGUAAAGCGUGCGUAGGCGGCUUUUUAAGUCGGAUGUGAAAUCCCUGAGCUUAACUUAGGAAUUGCAUUCGAUACUGGGAAGCUAGAGUAUGGGAGAGGAUGGUAGAAUUCCAGGUGUAGCGGUGAAAUGCGUAGAGAUCUGGAGGAAUACCGAUGGCGAAGGCAGCCAUCUGGCCUAAUACUGACGCUGAGGUACGAAAGCAUGGGGAGCAAACAGGAUUAGAUACCCUGGUAGUCCAUGCCGUAAACGAUGUCUACUAGCCGUUGGGGCCUUU